rnacentral:rRNA from 1 species
UGCCGCGUGUGUGAAGAAGGCCCUCGGGUUGUAAAGCACUUUCAGCGAGGAAGAACGCCUAGCGGUUAAUACCCGCUAGGAAAGACAUCACUCGCAGAAGAAGCACCGGCUAACUCCGUGCCAGCAGCCGCGGUAAUACGGAGGGUGCAAGCGUUAAUCGGAAUUACUGGGCGUAAAGCGCGCGUAGGUGGCUUGAUAAGCCGGUUGUGAAAGCCCCGGGCUCAACCUGGGAACGGCAUCCGGAACUGUCAAGCUAGAGUGCAGGAGAGGAAGGUAGAAUUCCCGGUGUAGCGGUGAAAUGCGUAGAGAUCGGGAGGAAUACCAGUGGCGAAGGCGGCCUUCUGGACUGACACUGACACUGAGGUGCGAAAGCGUGGGUAGCAAACAGGAUUAGAUACCCUGGUAGUCCACGCCGUAAACGAUGUCGACCAGCCGUUGGGUGCCUAGCGCACUUUGUGGCGAAGUUAACGCGAUAAGUCGACCGCCUGGGGAGUACGGCCGCAAGGUUAAAACUCAAAUGAAUUGACGGGGGCCCGCACAAGCGGUGGAGCAUGUGGUUUAAUUCGAUGCAACGCGAAGAACCUUACCUACUCUUGACAUCCUGCGAAUUUGGUAGAGAUACCUUAGUGCCUUCGGGAACGCAGAGACAGGUGCUGCAUGGCUGUCGUCAGCUCGUGUUG